rnacentral:rRNA from 2 species
UUAAAUGCAGUCGAACGGCAGCACGGGGGCAACCCUGGUGGCGAGUGGCGAACGGGUGAGUAACACAUCGGAACGUGUCCUGUAGUGGGGGAUAGCCCGGCGAAAGCCGGAUUAAUACCGCAUACGACCUGAGGGAGAAAGCGGGGGAUCUUCGGACCUCGCGCUAGAGGGGCGGCCGAUGGCAGAUUAGCUAGUUGGUGGGGUAAAGGCCUACCAAGGCGACGAUCUGUAGCUGGUCUGAGAGGACGACCAGCCACACUGGGACUGAGACACGGCCCAGACUCCUACGGGAGGCAGCAGUGGGGAAUUUUGGACAAUGGGGGAAACCCUGAUCCAGCAAUGCCGCGUGUGUGAAGAAGGCCUUCGGGUUGUAAAGCACUUUUGUCCGGAAAGAAAACUUCCGCCCUAAUACGGUGGGAGGCUGACGGUACCGGAAGAAUAAGCACCGGC